rnacentral:misc_RNA from 1 species
UGGUUCUGGCAUCGAUGAAGAACGCAGCGAAAUGCGAUAAGUAAUGCGAAUUGCAGAAUUCCAGUGAGUCAUCGAAUCUUUGAACGCACAUUGCGCCCUUUGGCAUUCCGAAGGGCAUGCCUGUUCGAGCGUCAUUAUCAACCCUCAAGCCCCGCGCUUGAUGUUGGACGGCUUGGUCGAGCCCACCUCGACCCCUCCGAAAGAUAACGACGGCGGCCCGUGGGACCCCCGGUACACUGAGCUUCUUCACCGAGCACGUACCGGACGAGGGUGCCCGGGACCCGGUCCUCCCUCCCGUGAAAAUGGGAACAUUUUCUCCAGGUUGACCUCGGAUCAGGUAGGAAUACGCGCUGA